UGGGGAAUAUUGGACAAUGGGGGCAACCCUGAUCCAGCCAUGCCGCGUGAGUGAUGAAGGCCUUCGGGUUGUAAAGCUCUUUUGGCGGGGGACGAUGAUGACGGUACCCGCAGAAUAAGCCCCGGCUAACUUCGUGCCAGCAGCCGCGGUAAGACGAAGGGGGCUAGCGUUGUUCGGAAUUACUGGGCGUAAAGCGAGUGUAGGCGGUUGCCGUAGUCAGGUGUGAAAGCCUUGAGCUCAACUCAAGAAAUGCACUUGAUACUGGGUGACUAGAGGACCGGAGAGGAUAGUGGAAUUCCCAGUGUAGUGGUGAAAUACGUAGAGAUUGGGAAGAACACCAGUGGCGAAGGCGGCUAUCUGGACGGUUACUGACGCUAAGACUCGAAAGCGUGGGGAGCAAACAGGAUUAGAUACCCUGGUAGUCCACGCCGUAAACGAUGGGUGCUAGACGUUGGCGAGCUUGCUCGUCAGUGUCGCAGCUAACGCGUUAAGCACCCCGCCUGGGGAGUACGGCCGC
rnacentral:rRNA from 1 species